CACUCACAUCAUUGUUGGUCAUAUCAGUGAAACUCAGGGGUGAAUAAAGAGUUUGGGUCUUGCAGUGCUGAGUUGCAAGGUCUCUGUGCAGGGAGAGAGCUGUGCUGCCAGCCUGGAAUUCUUCCAGGCAGCCAAAUCCACCUGCUAAAUAGGACAGAGGGGUGUGCACAGACCUGGGCGUAACCUGGAUGAAGUCCUGUGGGGGUUGGUGAUCCAAGACCCCUCAUGGCAGCUCUAUGCUCCCUGACUUUGGAAUGCCACGCCAGACUGUGGCUGCAGAGGGCAUAAUCAUAUUACCAGCUGGGUGUUUAUGUCGGGGUUUUGUCAAUGGCAUAGCGCUUCUCUGCUGACGAGGUGAAUUAUGAGGAUCGUGUGCCUUCUGCAGCAUCUGGACACUGCCUGGUGCCACAGGACAGGGGCUGUGAUGAGCAAGAAUGCACUGUUUGUCUGCCAUACCCUCACUCACAAAGGUGCACCCGAAAACAGAGCAGAAAAUCUUCCCAUGCCUGAUGUGUUUGCUCAGCACCACGCACUCCCCUCCUCCUAAUUAUCUGCUCUAUUUGUAUUUCUUGACCUCACAUGCAUCACUAACACGCCUGGCUUCAUCUCACAGCUGAGUUUCUCCCCUCCUCCCCCCAGGAAGAACAUCUCCUCUCUGGUUUUGGCCCUGGUUUUAUUGGCUGCAUUAGCUGGAAUGUUGAUGGUCAGUGACUCAAUCGCCCAUUUGUGGGUGCUUCGCAGCCCCCGAGGGGCAGGAGGCCUUUGGAGCAAGCUCUGCUCCAGGGACUUUAUGGCCUUAUUGACUUGGUGGGAGCUUUUGGCAUGCAGGGUGAUGAUGACAAUGUCCCAAACCUUGCACAGGGACACAGAAGGGCAGCCUGAACCCCAACGCUGUGCCAGCAGUGCCAGAUGUCAGGAUUUGCCGUGCUGCUGCUGCUUCAGAUCCUGGACAAACAGGAGAAGAUUGAUGCAGCAAUUGAACCAACGUUUCUUGAAAGCUCUUGUUGAAAACAGAGUGCAACUUCUGUGAUGGACACGGUCUCUAUCUCCCCAGGUCAAGGAGGUGGCUGUGGUGGCUUGAUACCAAAGCUUAAUUACCCUCAGCACUCAAACAUUCCCAGAAGGCUGUGAUGCUUAUGAAGAUGGGAUGAUUAUCACGGCUCUUCUGCGAGGUUAAUCUGUAGAGAUGGUGUGUUUGCACGGGGUGAUGGGUGAUUUGUCACAUUCACCGUGCCCAUUUCACCGAGACCUCCGCUCCCUCUGUUUGGCCUUGACCCCUACAGCGUGUGAUGGGAAGGGACAGCUUCCUCCAAGCUACCUGCUCCUGCCACCACCCUGGGCGCUACGGGAAUAAUAAAAAUAGCAAUUAAUAAUAAUAAUAAUAAACCCUAUUCAGUGCCUGCUGAUUACUUCCCCACAUCUUGGGCUUUUCAUUCAAUUGCUCCCAAGUAUUAUUAAAAAAAAUUAUCUUUGCAUGGUGUUUUACAAUAUUUUUCUGAAGGAAAUGACUGCAUUUUGCACAUGCUGAAGAUGAUUUUGAAGGGAUCUACAUCAGAAAGAGAAGUGGCAGUUGCAGAUUAUGGCUAGAAUUUACUGGGAAAUUUUAGUUCUGAUUUUUAUUUUUUUUUUUUUUUUUUUUUAAAUAAGAAGGUGUCUCUACAAAUUCUGUUUUUGAAGGACUGGGUUAUAAUGUUACAGCUCUUUGCUGCCUGUCUCACACACAAAGGUUUUAGUUUUAAUUUAUGAUUGUCUGUGUAUCUUUAUUUUCAGUUUUAAAUAAAUAAAGAAAUAAUCCACGGGGAGAGUUUCACCCUGUCAAAAGAGUUAUUUUCCAAGAUGGACUAAUUCAGAAGAACAGUCAGUGCUUGGCAAAACU